rnacentral:rRNA from 1 species
UACGGAGGGUGCGAGCGUUGUCCGGAAUCACUGGGCGUAAAGGGCGCGUAGGCGGCAUGCCAAGCGUGUGGUGAAAGCCCGGGGCUCAACCCCGGGUCGGCCGUGCGGACUGGCGUGCUCGAGCACUGUAGGGGCGGGUGGAAUUCCGGGUGUAGCGGUGGAAUGCGUAGAGAUCUGGAAGAACACCAAAGGCGAAGGCAGCAUCCUGGGAAGUUCCUGACGCUCGGGUGCGAAAGCCAGGGGAGCGAACGGG